CGGCAGCAUGAUCUAGCUUGCUAGAUUGAUGGCGAGUGGCGAACGGGUGAGUAAUACAUCGGAACGUGCCCUGUAGUGGGGGAUAACUAGUCGAAAGAUUAGCUAAUACCGCAUACGACCUGAGGGUGAAAGUGGGGGACCGCAAGGCCUCAUGCUAUAGGAGCGGCCGAUGUCUGAUUAGCUAGUUGGUGGGGUAAGAGCCUACCAAGGCGACGAUCAGUAGCUGGUCUGAGAGGACGAUCAGCCACACUGGGACUGAGACACGGCCCAGACUCCUACGGGAGGCAGCAGUGGGGAAUUUUGGACAAUGGGCGAAAGCCUGAUCCAGCAAUGCCGCGUGUGUGAAGAAGGCCUUCGGGUUGUAAAGCACUUUUGUCCGGAAAGAAAUCGCACUUAAUAAUACUAGGUGUGGAUGACGGUACCGGAAGAAUAAGGACCGGCUAACUACGUGCCAGCAGCCGCGGUAAUACGUAGGGUCCAAGCGUUAAUCGGAAUUACUGGGCGUAAAGCGUGCGCAGGCGGUUGUGCAAGACCGAUGUGAAAUCCCCGAGCUUAACUUGGGAAUUGCAUUGGUGACUGCACGGCUAGAGUGUGUCAGAGGGGGGUAGAAUUCCACGUGUAGCAGUGAAAUGCGUAGAGAUGUGGAGGAAUACCGAUGGCG
rnacentral:rRNA from 1 species